GGGGAAACAUGGGGCAGCGGUCGGGGAAUGACGGUGGGUGCAAGGGUGAAGCGGAAUUACCGGGCGGAAGGGCACGCAGGCGGGCAGUAAAGUCGGAGGUGAAAUCCCCGGGCUCAACCUGGGAACUGCAUUGGAAACUGGGAGGCUAGAGGCUUGUGGAGGGGGGUAGAAUUCCAGGUGUAGCGGUGAAAUGCGUAGAGAUCUGGAGGAAUACCGGUGGCGAAGGCGGCCCCCUGGACAAAGACUGACGCUCAGGUGCGAAAGCGUGGGGAGCAAACAGGAUUAGAUACCCCAGUAGUC
rnacentral:rRNA from 1 species